UUGGCAAAAAGACGACUAGGGAAUGGAGGCCCUAUGUCUAAAAAUCUCAACUCACGGAUUGGAGCCCUAAUGUUGACAAAAAAGGAGACUAUGGAAUGGAGGCCCUAUGUCUAAAAUCUCAAUUCAGGGAUUGAAGCCCUAAUGUUGGCAAAAAAGGCGACUAGGAAAUAGAGGCCUUAUGUCUAAAACCUCAACUCAGGGAUUGGAUCCCUAAUGUUGGCAAAAAAGGCGACUAGGGAAUGGAGGCCCUAUGUCUAAAAAUCUCAACUCAGGGAUUGGAGCCCUAAUGUUGGCAAAAAGGCGACUAGGGAAUGGAGGCCCUAUGUCUAAAAAUCUCAACUCAGGGAUUGGAG
rnacentral:lncRNA from 1 species